UUUCCGUAGGUGAACCUGCGGAAGGAUCAUUGCUGAGUGAGGGCCCCUCGGGGUCCAACCUCCCACCCGUGUUUAACGAACCUUGUUGCUUCGGCGGGCCCGCCUCACGGCCGCCGGGGGGCAUCUGCCCCCGGGCCCGCGCCCGCCGAAGCCACCUGUGAACGCUGUCUGAAGUAUGCAGUCUGAGACAAUUAUUAAAUUAAUUAAAACUUUCAACAACGGAUCUCUUGGUUCCGACAUCGAUGAAGAACGCAGC
rnacentral:misc_RNA from 1 species